GGAAAGAGUCCGGUUGGUCGAGGACACCGCCUUGAAAGCGGCUGGGUGUAAAAACUUCGCAGGUUCGAUUCCUGUUCUUUCCG
rnacentral:tRNA from 1 species